GGCUCAGGACGAACGCUGGCGGCGUGCCUAAUACAUGCAAGUCGGACGGUUUAGAAGUGAGAGGCUUGCCUCUCGCUUUUAGACAGUGGCGGACGGGUGAGUACACGUAGGCAACCUGCCCGUAAUACCGGGAUAACCUGGGGAAACCGAGGCUAAGCCCGGAAGGCAUUUUUUCCGCAUGGGAGAGGAGGGAAAGGGUGCGACCCGAUUACGGAGGGGCCUGCGGCGCAUUAGCUAGUUGGUGAGGUAACGGCCCACCAAGGCGAUGAUGCGUAGCCGACCUGAGAGGGUGACCGGCCACACUGGGACUGAGAGACGGCCCAGACUCCUACGGGAGGGCAGUAGGGAAUCUUCGGCAAUGGCGAAAGCCUGACGAGCAACGCCGCGUGAGUGAGGAAGGCCUUCGGGUUGUAAAACUCUGUUGUUUGGGAAGAAGGGAAAGGGUAGGCCCCUUAGGUGACGGUACCAAACGAGAAAGC
rnacentral:rRNA from 1 species